CAAGUCGAGCGGACGGAUGGGAGCUUGCUCCCUGAAGUCAGCGGCGGACGGGUGAGUAACACGUGGGCAACCUGCCUGUAAGACUGGGAUAACUCCGGGAAACCGGGGCUAAUACCGGAUAACUCUUUUCCUCACAUGAGGAAAAGCUGAAAGAUGGUUUCGGCUAUCACUUACAGAUGGGCCCGCGGCGCAUUAGCUAGUUGGUGAGGUAACGGCUCACCAAGGCCACGAUGCGUAGCCGACCUGAGAGGGUGAUCGGCCACACUGGGACUGAGACACGGCCCAGACUCCUACGGGAGGCAGCAGUAGGGAAUCUUCCGCAAUGGACGAAAGUCUGACGGAGCAACGCCGCGUGAGUGAUGAAGGUUUUCGGAUCGUAAAACUCUGUUGUCAGGGAAGAACAAGUACCGGAGUAACUGCCGGUACCUUGACGGUACCUGACCAGAAAGCCACGGCUAACUACGUGCCAGC
rnacentral:rRNA from 1 species